AGCAUUUUCUCUGCGCAUUUUGCGUUGCUUUUCGGUUUAAAAAAAAAAAGAGUUAUCCGGACUUCACUGGUAAGAGUUCAGCGGCAGCCUCAACAUGGCGUCUGGUAAUGGCAAUCCCGAUUCAAGUGAAUCACUAAAACGUGACAUCCUUGAGCGAUUGCACCAUCGGCUGGUAGGCUACACAUCUUGGAGAGGCAGCCUCUUGACAUCGAAGGGUUACAGUUUGCGUGCCGUCAGGAGUUCGUUUUAUUAAGUGCUCUAGGUGACAUAGUGGAUGUACGAGAGGAUAUAUUGUCUGCACUUGCAAGUCUGAAUACUGUUAUCCAGCAGGAGUGAGAGAAUGAACAGACAUUUGUAACUCUGGAGUUCUGGACGUAGGGGUCCGCGAUUGACUGUCAUUAGAGACUCUCACACAUCUUGUUGAACUUGGGAUGCCUUCAAAAUGCAUUUCCAGACUCCUUGGUGUUUCGAGAGCAACACUAUUUAGGCGGAUGACUGAAAAUAAUAUAUUUAUUUCUGCUUCAUAUCGUAGCUGCAGUGACGAUGAAUUCGAUGUAUUGAUCACAGCAAUAAAAAGCACAAUGCCAGAUGCUGGGUACACUAUAGUCCGAGGUGCUCUACUCGCACAGGGACACAGAGUGCAAUGGGGCCGAGUGUAUGCAUCUAUGCAUCGUGUGGACAGCGUUGGUGUGCUCGCCAGGAUGACCAGAUUGGGAUGUGUGGUGAGUAGGGCUGGGACGACGCGUCGACGUAAUCGACGACGUUGACGCAUAAAUUACGUCGACGCGAAAAAUGCGCGUCGAUUAAAAAAAAGAAAAAAGAAAAAAAAAAAAGAUGGGCGGCGCCGGAGCGUAGUUGCAACGCGAGUGGCUCCUCAGACUUUCAUAAGUGCAAGGCGCCACGCACUCGUUCCUCUAAAGUAUGGGAAUUCUUUAAUGUGAAAUGAAACGAUUCCGUGAUAUGUCAUCUUUGCAAAAUGGAGAUGACUUUCCAUUCUAGCACCACGGCAAUUCACCAGCACCUGAAGAGGCGCCACCCGGUAGCAGCUGCAGAUGACCGAGCACCGUAGAAUUCUAAGAAUGCAUUACUUUGCACUUUUAUUUUGGAAUUUAAAGGCAAUAAACAUGCAUUGAAAUGUUAAGGAAUUCAUAUUUUUUUCAUUCAGAUAUGUAAAUCAACAUGUAUAAAUUGCUAUUAGUCAAUUAAUGGGGAGAUAAUCGAGAAUCGAAUCGAAUCGAUAUCGAAUCGGACUGAAAAAAUGAAUCGUUAGAUGAAUCGAUGCAUCGAAAAAAUAAUCGCUAGAUUAAUCGUUUAAAAAAUAAUCGUUUAUCCCAGCCCUAGUGGUGAGGAGAACGUACUCUGUUCCUUUCCCGAAGUACUUGGUGCACAUUGAUGCCAAUCACAAACUCAUCAGGAAUGUCUGCAUGCUAUGUAUGUAAAAUUCAAUUUUUUUCAUGUCCAGUUUUGUAUUUUGUGUCGGCCUAUUGUAUUGCAUCUUUGUCUGAUUUUGUUUUGUUCACAUUCCCACAAAUAUUGUAUUGUGAGACCAAUGCUGCCAGAGAUGUUGUGUAGUGUCUGGGAGUUACUUCUUCUAUGAUUUCUUUAACCUAGGUACAACUUUGUUAUCUUUGGGGGCAUAGAUGGCUAUUCAAGAAAGGUAAGAGUUUUCACUGUCUGGGACCAAGAACUGCAAAAUGUUGCUGACCAUCCCUGUUUUAAGGAAGGAGGAUGUUUUUCUCAUUCAUAAGCCAGUUUAUUUUGUACCAUCUGGUGAUCCUUAGGUAUAAAUAUUUGUGUCAUCUACUCUUUUCCAUUGCUGAGGAGAAGGAGGCUUUGUAUGAAUUCAGUUGAUAAAGUUGUUAUUAAAAAUUUCCGGUUGACUCGAUGAACGGGGUGUCUAUAACAUUGCUUUCAAAGUGUUCAUCUAUCCUAUUCAGUGAGCUCUGACUUAAUUUCUCAUAUCAUAAGACUUGUCUGAUCUGUCACAUGAUCCCGUUAUGUUUAAUAAUUCUGUAGUGAGCUUUCUUGCUGUUGCACUUGUCAUUUGGGCAUUGAUUGUUUUGGCCCUUAGAAAACGUUGUCAGCUGACCUAUGUCAUGAGAAAAACUGAUUCAGCAUAGUACUAAUGUAUUGUUCAAUCUUAACUUGUAGAUUAUGUACCUGAAAGUAGCUGACAACAACCGGUCUGACACCCACUUGGACUUCUUCAAUGAAGCUGUGAACAAGCAUGGGUUUCCUCUGAGAGUGAGAGGAGAUCAUGGAGGAGAAAAUGUGGGAGUAGCGGAAUUGAUGUUCUCAGUUCGUGGCACUGACAGUAACAGCUUCAUUGCCGGGAAAAGCGUACACAAUCAACGCAUUGAACGCCUCUGGCGUGAUGUCUUCAUGAGUGUUACAGGUGUUUAUUAUAACAUCCUGCACUCUCUUGGGGAUCAACACCGGCUUGACAUCAGCAGCAUCCUGCACAUUUUCUGCUGCCACUACGUUUUUCUGCCACGCAUCCAGACUAGCCUGGAUGUCUUCAGUGAGGCGUGGGACAACCAUUCCAUCAGGACAGAGCAAAACCUGACACCAAUUCAGUUGUGGCAUGUGGGCCAGUCCCUGAAUCCUGUUGUUGAUCCUGAAC